rnacentral:lncRNA from 1 species
CUGCGAUGACAAUUUGUGCUUGGGCCGGCUUUGGGCUCAGCAGGGCUUGGAUUUGUUUCGGUUCAGAGCAGGAACAGCAACUGUUCCAGAAUCCCACGACUGCGGCGUGCUUGGGAACGCGGUGCUGUGCAGCGGGAAGGGGACGCUGGGCAGGGCAGAGCCCAGGCAGGCGGAGCGGGGGCCGCGAUCGGUCCCCGUGAGGGAGGGCGGGCAGGAAGCGGCGGAGCGGGGCCGCGCUCGGUCCCCGUGAGGGAAGGCGGGCAGGAAGCGGCGGCGGGCAGCCCCAGUCCUUCCGGGGCGCGGGCGGUGCCGGCCCAGGGGCGGCGGAGCCCGGGCGGCGGCGGCCGCAGCGCGGGUGGGUCGGGGCCCCGGGGCGGCCGGGGAAGGGUGGGCCGGGCCGGGCCGGGCCUGGCCGGGUCGGGGUGCGGCCGCCGAGGGCCGUGGGCGGGAUCCGUGAUCCAGCGACAGCCCCACACGUAGGAGUGGGUAAAACCCCCUGGCGUCUGCGGCAGCGGCACCCGAGCCGGGUCUGGCCUCCGGUUCCUGGUGCAAGGGCGUGAACGUGCUUUCCCCCGCAGUGGCGUGCGGUGUCAUGGAGGGGGAUGUGGCCCUGUGCCGUGUGCCCUGGCAUGGCCCUGCUGGAGCGGGGGGAUAUGGAUGACAGGAAAGAUGAGAAAAGCAGGACGCUGUGUGCAACCUCAGAAGAAGGGCUGAAGGCCCGAGGGAAAGAAAAAAGGAAACGAAAGCGCAGCAGAAGCAGAUCCUCAUCUGUUUCAUCCACAUCGUCUUCUAGCAGUACAUCCACUUCUUCCUCCUCAUCACGCUCUUCAUCAAGGUCAUCUUCUUCCAGCAGUAGUAGAGAUUCUCCUAAGUCUAAGUCAAAGAAGAAGAAAAAAGAAAAACACAACAAAAAGAAAAGGAAAAAGGAGAACAAAAUGAAGAAAAAGAAAGAAAAGAAGAAAAGGAAAGAGAAAACAGGCCCUGUCCAGCUUUCCAAGUUCUUCAAAAACAAAAAGAAGAAUGAAAACUACAGCAUGAUAACUGGAAAGAAAAUUAAGAUGAAAAUAAAGAAGACUAAGGAAGAUAUAGAGAGAGACCGGAACCGUGCCCAGCUCCUGGAGUUCCUGAACUCUGCCUUGUAA